AGUAACGCGUGGGUAACCUGCCUCAUACAGGGGGAUAACAGUUAGAAAUGACUGCUAAUACCGCAUAAGCGCACGGCAUCGCAUGAUGCAGUGUGAAAAACUCCGGUGGUGUGAGAUGGAUCCGCGUCUGAUUAGGUAGUUGGUGGGGUAACGGCCUACCAAGCCGACGAUCAGUAGCCGACCUGAGAGGGUGACCGGCCACAUUGGGACUGAGACACGGCCCAA
rnacentral:rRNA from 1 species